rnacentral:tRNA from 3 species
GGGCGCUUAGCUCAGCUGGUUCAGAGCGUCUGCCUUACAAGCAGAGGGUCGGGGGUUCGAAUCCCUCAGCGCCC